UGGCUCAGGACGAACGCUGGCGGCGUGCCUAACACAUGCAAGUCGAACGGGGUUACGAGAGCUUGCUCUUGUGACUUAGUGGCGAACGGGUGAGUAACGCGUGAGAAACCUGCCUCUCAGUGGGGGACAACAGUUGGAAACGACUGCUAAUACCGCAUAACACUUUAGUACCGCAUGGUACAGAAGUCAAAGCUUUAUGUGCUGAAAGAUGGUCUCGCGUCUGAUUAGCUAGAUGGCGGGGUAACGGCCCACCAUGGCGACGAUCAGUAGCCGAGCUGAGAGGCUCAACGGCCACAUUGGGACUGAGAUACGGCCCAGACUCCUACGGGAGGCAGCAGUCGGGAAUAUUGCGCAAUGGAGGAAACUCUGACGCAGUGACGCCGCGUAUAGGAAGAAGGUUUUCGGAUUGUAAACUAUUGUCAUUAGGGAAGAAAAAGACUGUACCUAAGGAGGAAGCCCCGGCUAACUAUGUG
rnacentral:rRNA from 1 species